rnacentral:rRNA from 1 species
GAUGAACGCUGGCGGCGUGCCUAAUACAUGCAAGUCGAGCGAACGGACGAGAAGCUUGCUUCUCUGAUGUUAGCGGCGGACGGGUGAGUAACACGUGGAUAACCUACCUAUAAGACUGGGAUAACUUCGGGAAACCGGAGCUAAUACCGGAUAAUAUUUUGAACCGCAUGGUUCAAAAGUGAAAGACGGUCUUGCUGUCACUUAUAGAUGGAUCCGCGCUGCAUUAGCUAGUUGGUAAGGUAACGGCUUACCAAGGCAACGAUGCAUAGCCGACCUGAGAGGGUGGUCGGCCAGACUGGAACUGAGACACGGUCCAGACUCCUACGGGAGGCAGCAGUAGGGAAUCUUCCGCGAUGGGCGAAAGCCUGCCGGAGCAACGCCGCGUGAGUGAUGAAGGUCUUCGGAUCGUAAAACUCUGUUAUUAGGGAAGAACAUAUGUGUAAGUAACUGUGCGCAUCUUGACGGUACCUAGUCAGAAAGCCACGGCUAGCUACGUG